rnacentral:rRNA from 1 species
CCUACGGGAGGCAGCAGUGAGGAAUAUUGGUCAAUGGACGCAAGUCUGAACCAGCCAUGCCGCGUGCAGGAAGACGGCUCUCUGAGUUGUAAACUGCUUUUGUACGAGGGUAAACGCAGAUACGCGUAUCUGUCUGAAAGUAUCGUACGAAUAAGGAUCGGCUAACUCAGUGCCAGCAGCCGCGGUAAUACGGAGGAUACAAGCGUUAUCCGGAUUUAUUGGGUUUAAAGGGUGCGUAGGCGGUCGGAUAAGUUAGAGGUGAAAUCCCGAGGCUCAACUUCGGAAUUGCAUCUGAUACUGUUCGGCGAGAGAGUAGUUGCGGUAGGCGGAAUGUAAGGUGUAGCGGUGAAAUGCUUAGAGAUCAGACAGAACACCGAUUGCGAAGGCAGCUUACCAGGCUACUUCUGACGUUGAGGCACGAAAGCGUGGGGAGCAAACAGGAUUAGAUACCCCAGUAGUC